rnacentral:lncRNA from 1 species
AAAACUCUAAUCCCUAAAAUUAGAGACUCAAACCCUAAUUUAAAACAAUCUAAAUGAAUUAAUCAAAUAGUUUUUUGGACGAAUCCAAAUCUACAAUUUCAUGUGUUUCAAAUAAAAUCCUAAAUCAACUAAGGAGUUAAACCUAGAUAACAAAUUUUGAAGAGAAAAUAGAAACCCAAAAAAUAAUAAAUUCAAUCAAAUUAAAAACCCAAAUCAAAUUUAACAAAAAACUAAAACCUCAAAUCAAAUUCAUCAACAAACUAAAAACCCAAAUCAACAACAAAUUUGAAGAAAAAAUAGAAACCCAAAAACAAAAAAGAAAAAACCCACUUAAUUCAGUCAUAUCAAAAGAUAUGUAAAUCAAAACAAAAUCAAAUCUAUUAAAAAACCCAAAAACAAAUAUUAACACCAUAUUGGAAUUUGUGAUUUUAAAUUUAAUAAUAUAAUAAAAAGUAAUAAAAAAAAAGAACAAAUCAAUAUGAGAUAAAAAGGAUAAUGAAUGAUUGCCGACAAGUGAAUAGUUAACAACAAUAGUAAGAAAAAGGAGACAACAUGUGAGAUCAAUGAAUGAAUAACUAAUAGUCAUGGGGAAAAAUGAAAAAUAAAGAAGAGAAAAAGAAGUGAAAAUUUUCAAGCUAGAGAAAAAAGAGGGGUAGAGGUCAGCAAUUUACAAAACGAAAGUAAAAGUGAGGCAGCAAAGAAGAUAAUGAUCAGACGCAAAAGGAGCUGUAACAAAAUUUAAAGGGAAGAAGAAAUCGUUCUGGG